AGUGCAUGUUUCACUCGAUUAGGGAGAGAGCGCACCCUCUCCAGAGGGCUUUGGCCACGCUUAAUUUUUUCUUUGUUUCCUUCUAUACUGCUUUAUAUCUCACACAUCCCCUCUUAACUCUCCAGACAUGGGAAGUUGUUGUGACAGGUCAGGAAAGUCGUAUGUUUACCCUUCUCCUAGAAAUUAGUUAUGUAAGCUAUUAUUGUAUGUAUUUAGUAAUGAGGGGACAUGUGCAUUAAUCUCUUAAAGCUUUGAAAUAAUUAGCAGCAUGGUCUUAUGCUUCCAUGGCAAGCUACCCUGUGUACCUUGGCUUUUUCAAAGCAGUAGAUUUUAGUAUGUUUUAGCUGUUGGGAGCUCUGUGUUCCAUGCGAUGUUUUACGGAGAACUUGCAGAGGACAAAGAUGAAAUCCGUAUACCAGAUGUCGAACCUGCUGCUUUUCUCGCUAUGCUGAAAUAUAUCUAUUGUGAUGAAAUUGACUUGGCUGCUGACACAGUGCUGGCCACACUUUAUGCUGCCAAAAAGUACAUUGUCCCUCACCUUGCCAGAGCCUGUGUUAAUUUCCUGGAGACCAGCCUGAGUGCCAAGAAUGCCUGUGUGCUCCUCUCCCAGAGCUGCCUGUUCGAGGAGCCAGACCUGACCCAGCGUUGCUGGGAGGUGAUUGAUGCCCAGGCUGAGUUAGCUCUCAAGUCUGAGGGAUUCUGCGAUAUUGACUUCCAGACACUAGAAAGUAUUCUCCGUAGGGAAACUCUGAAUGCCAAAGAAAUUGUGGUUUUUGAGGCAGCUCUCAACUGGGCUGAAGUAGAA
rnacentral:sRNA from 1 species